CGAGUGUGUAAAAAUAACUGUCACUCACACAGUUUCAAGGCUUUUCCCAUGUCAAGUUUCAGGCUGCUGUUACCUGUUCAACUCUACCACAGGAUAACAGCGUUGGCUGUAGGGGAUGUCUACCAUCAACAACCUGCAGUGAUCUAUCUGCUGUUUACACCAUCUGGUUCUGCCUGAAGAGGAUUCGUAUGUUUGCAGUCAGGCAUUUUAGAGUAAUUGUGAUUUCAAUUACAGGUCGAUGUGAAGUUUGUAAUAUUUGAAAAGAUAUACUGUAUUGAAUACAUAAUCAUGCUGACAUCCUGUGUUGGAGGCUACUCCUAAAGGACUAUUCCUUGCGUAAUUGGUCAGUUGCUCGAUUAAGUUCUGGGUCCAUACAUGUUAAGAGAAGGGAUCAAGAAUUGCUAGAACGAUGUGCGGAACAAGGAGCUCCACCCUGUCUCUUUGCUCCACCCCCCCCC
rnacentral:lncRNA from 1 species